CCUACGGGUGGCAGCAGUGAGGCAUAUUGGUCAAUGGACGCAAGUCUGAACCAGCCAUGCCGCGUGCAGGACGACGGCCCUAUGAGUUGUAAACUGCUUUUGUACGGGGGUAAACGCAGAUACGCGUAUCUUUCUGAAAGUAUCGUACGAAUAAGGAUCGGCUAACUCCGUGCCAGCAGCCGCGGUAAUACGGAGGAUACAAGCGUUAUCCGGAUUUAUUGGGUUUAAAGGGUGCGUAGGCGGUUGGAUAAGUUAGUGGUGAAAUCCCGAGGCUCAACUUCGGAAUUGCAUCUGAUAGUGUCAGGCUAGAGAGUAGUUGCGGUAGGCGGAAUGUAUGGUGUAGCGGUGAAAUGCUUAGAGAUCACACAGAACACCGAUUGCGAAGGCAGCUUACCAAGCUACUUCUGACGUUGAGGCACGAAAGCGUGGGGAGCAAACAGGAUUAGAUACCCUAGUAGUC
rnacentral:rRNA from 1 species